GACGAACGCUGGCGGCGUGCUUAACACAUGCAAGUCGAACGGAAAGGCCCUGCUUUUGUGGGGUGCUCGAGUGGCGAAAGGGUGAGUAACACGUGAGUAACCUGCCCUUGACUUUGGGAUAACUUCAGGAAACUGGGGCUAAUACCGGAUAGGAGCUCCUGCUGCAUGGUGGGGGUUGGAAAGUUUCGGCGGUUGGGGAUGGACUCGCGGCUUAUCAGCUUGUUGGUGGGGUAGUGGCUUACCAAGGCUUUGACGGGUAGCCGGCCUGAGAGGGUGACCGGCCACAAUGGGACUGAGAGACGGCCCAGACUCCUACGGGAGGCAGAAGUGGGGAAUAUUGCACAAUGGGCGGGAGCCUGAUGCAGCAACGCCGCGUGCGGGAUGACGGCCUUCGGGUUGUAAACCGCUUUCGCCGGUGACGAAGCGUGAGUGACGGUAAUGGGUAAAGAAGCACCGGCUAACUACGUG
rnacentral:rRNA from 1 species